AAUAGAUACCCCGGUAGUCCACGCCGUAAACGUUGGGCGCUAGGUGUGGGGGUCCUUCCACGACCUCCGUGCCGCAGCUAACGCAUUAAGCGCCCCGCCUGGGGAGUACGGCCGCAAGGCUAAAACUCAAAGGAAUUGACGGGGGCCCGCACAAGCGGCGGAGCAUGCGGAUUAAUUCGAUGCAACGCGAAGAACCUUACCAAGGCUUGACAUGCACAGGAAAGUUCCAGAGAUGGUUCCCCCGCAAGGUCUGUGCACAGGUGGUGCAUGGUUGUCGUCAGCUCGUGUCGUGAGAUGUUGGGUUAAGUCCCGCAACGAGCGCAACCCUUGUCUCAUGUUGCCAGCACGUAAUGGUGGGGACUCAUGAGAGACUGCCGGGGUCAACUCGGAGGAAGGUGGGGAUGACGUCAAAUCAUCAUGCCCCUUAUGUCUUGGGCUUCACGCAUGCUACAAUGGCCGGUACAAAGGGCUGCGAAACCGCGAGGUGGAGCGAAUCCCAAAAAGCCGGUCUCAGUUCGGAUUGGGGUCUGCAACUCCG
rnacentral:rRNA from 1 species